CACCAUUGUUAGCAUCCGAUUGGGUCAAUGUCUUAGCAAAGGAAGCUGGCUUAUUCUCUUGCCCUUCUCCCCCAUUAAUUACACGUUCCUCUUCUUCCUCCAAACCAGGCUCGCUGCUAGUAAUUGGAGCCAACUUCAUGUUGGCAUAAACCUCAUCGGUUUCAGGAUCAGCCAUGAAUUUAACAGCCAAAACCCUACAAAGGAUAUAUGAAGGGACGCGAGGGAAGUUCCUGAAAUCCAUAGGACCAGAGGCAUGCUCACAGUGGCCUUGAGGGAAGUAGAAGACCUUGGAGUUCACCAUAGGCAUUUGGAUCAUUCCACCAGCGCAGGCAUGCCAUAGCUGAGAGUCUAAGCACUUCUCCACCUC
rnacentral:misc_RNA from 1 species